GGCUCAUUCCACUCUUCAACCUCUGUGCACUUAUUGUAGGUCGGUGGAAAGCUUGGAGCUUUUUUUAAUUAAAAAGUCUUCAAGUUGGAAGCCUUCCUAUGUUUCACUACAAACGCUUCAGUUAUAGAAUGUUUAUCUUGCGUAUAACGCAUUUAUAUACAACUUUCAGCAACGGAUCUCUUGGCUCUCGCAUCGAUGAAGAACGCAGCGAAAUGCGAUAAGUAAUGUGAAUUGCAGAAUUCAGUGAAUCAUCGAAUCUUUGAACGCACCUUGCGCUCCCUGGUAUUCCGGGGAGCAUGCCUGUUUGAGUGUCAUGGAAUUCUCAACCUCUUAAAUUUUUGUUAACCAAAAGUUUAAAAGGCUUGGACUUGGAGGCUUGUGCUGGCUCUAAUUUGUUGAGUCGGCUCCUCUUAAAUGCAUUAGCGUGAAUGUUUACGGAUCGCUUCGGUGUGAUAAUUAUCUGCGCCGUGGUUGUGAAGUAUCGAUAAGUUUACGCUUCUAAUCGUCCUUUCAAUAGGACAAUUAAUAAAACUUGACAUCUGGCCUCAAAUCAGGUAGGACUACCCGCUGAACUUAAGCAUAUCAAU
rnacentral:rRNA from 1 species